AGCAGCCGCGGUAAUUCCAGCUCCAAUAGCGUAUAUUAAAGUUGUUGCAGUUAAAAAGCUCGUAGUUGAAUUUCGGGGUCAGUAGGUUGGUCGUGCCACCGGUACGUACUGGUCUCACUGAUUCCUCCUUCCUGAUGAGCUGUAAUGCCAUUAAUUUGGUGUUGCAGGGAAUCUGGACUGUUACUUUGAAAAAAUUAGAGUGUUUAAAGCAGGCUUACGCUUGAAUACAUUAGCAUGGAAUAAUGAAAUAGGACGUUCGAUCCUAUUUGUUGGUUUCUAGGAUUGACGUAAUGAUUAAUAGGGAUAGUUGGGGCAUUAGUAUUCAAUUGUCAGAGGUGAAAUUCUUGGAUUUAUGAAGACUAACUACUGCGAAAGCAUUUGCC
rnacentral:rRNA from 1 species